UUGUUUCUUACAGAAAGCAGUCUGUCGUUUUCUUAAUGCCGAAACAAGUAUAGGGUGAGAUUUUGUAUUGUAAUCUCUAUUACAUGUGAUGUUCUGAACUCUUAAAAAUACUCGCAUCUUCUUUGAUUUUUUUCAAACCUGAAAAAUGGCCAAGCCGUACCAGCCAGGCCUCAGACCACGGUGCAGAGGAGCUCUUACGGAGUCCACCAGGACGAAGAGAAAUUCAUACAGCAAGGCAGAGUGUGGAAAGCAGUAAAGAUCUACAAAAUGGCGGAUGGAGGACGGACAUGAGGACGAAGUAUAAUGACACUCCACAGAAUGGGAGUCACAUUUGUGUCAAUCAGACUCUUCAGGAACUUUCUGAUGUCCAUGAUGAGGACAGAAAUGCAACUGUGUGUGAGUAUCUACUAUUUUAGAAUGUUGAUUAUAUUUUAUGCUUCAAUAUUGUUUAUGUACUUAAUGUAAUUAUGCUAUUUAUUGACAAUGUCCUGAACACAGCAGAAGUUUGAUCAUGUUUGGACAGAAAAACACUGCCAGAUGGUCCAGAAAUGGACAAGCAUUUAUGUCUUAUUUUAUGUGCAAACAGUAAA